UGAAGGCUGGAAAAGUUGUGUCACGCUGCCUGAAAAGGGAGGGGGCCGACGGGGGGUGCACUUUGGGCCUUCACGGGAUGUAGCUUGUGUAGCAGACAAAUUCAGGCUUUUUAGGGACAAACACGUCGAUUGCAAGGCUGUCUUUUUGCAGUCUGUCUCUGUACUCGUCCGUCACGAUAUUGUCGACUUUUGAAGGGUUCGGUGCAUCGUUGACCUUUGCGUCGUACCUUUAACCGCACGAGGUCGCGGGAAUCAUGGUGACUGUUUUUCAGCAAGGAUUCACGCGAGACUGAAGACCAAAAUGCGAAACGUCCCAAGUUUGGGAUCAUUUCACUCUUGAAAAGCAAAAUUGGCCCACGCCCCGUUACCGUUUUGGAAUCUUUUGGAAAGGUUCUCUAUCUGCACCAGAGCCCGCACGCCAAAGCCGAUCGGCCGCUCAAGACCUUUGCCGGUUCUGCGCUCGGAUCCAAUCAACAAACGAGUCGUCAUCUGCCAUGAGGUCAUGCGCUCGGACAGAUGAUGAUUCCAGGUCCGAGUUUUGGCAGCGUGGUGACAGAAGCUAUUCCUCACGCUUGAGUGAGGUGGAAUGGGCCCAAGGCGAACGUGAGCCCCAUCGAACGGCAGCUUGACUGCAUCAAGUGCUAAUUGUUCCAAAAGUGGCCAAAUGCAGUUCUGAGAAAAGAGCCACCUUCAUGCUGUCAUUUUUUGCACAUGACGGAACAUAGGAAUGGGCUCCGUUUUUUAACAGGGCGACAACAUGACAUGGGCUGGGCAGACUUUCCAGGUGCCCACACACACACGCACACACGCACGCACGCACGCACGCACGCACCCACCCACACCCACGCACACACACACACACACACACACACACACACACACACACACACACACACACACACACACACACACACACACACACACACACUUGUGUCCCCCAGAGCAAGCACAGGUGUAGCCUACCUCACGCGUGUAGCAGGCGUUCAGGGUCUGGUUGGUGUGUCGCAGGCGCUGGUCGAGCAGAGCGAGUGCAGCCUCCUGGUGCCGGAGUCGCUGGUGCGCCUCCGCCAGCCGCCGCUCCAGCUCGUCCUUGUCUUGAACGCACAGCGCCUCGGCACCCAGGAUCUUUUCCUGGCUCUCCCGCAGGUCCUGGCGGCAGCGGGCCGAGCUCUUCAGGUCCGGAGACGUGGACCACACCACGAUGACCACCAGGGAGAUGACGGACCACAGGGCCAGAACAACCAGCGCCGCCUUGGUGCCGCUACCCAUCUUGCCGGACUUGGACGUCGCCGCUGCUGUCAUGUCGCUCCAAGCUUGUGCCGAACACACAAGCGCACAUGCACACGUUCCGACGGGAACUCGGGAGCGGCCACUUCUCCUCUCCUUCCCUUCGUUCCUCCUCCCACAGCACAGCACAGCACAGCCAUCCUCCCCCACCUUCUUUCCUCACUUCUUCGCCUGCUUUCAGUACCCAUUUGUGCCAACAGCAAAUGUGGAAAACUUUAGGCACGACUAUUCAUGUGUGUUGUCAAGUGAUACGCCCUUAAAACUGUUGGGUUGAAAAUUGGGUCAAUGGGUUGUUUUGAAAAAAAAAAGUUAAAAAAUUUAUGUUAAUGUGUAUGUAUAUAUAUACGUAUACAUACAUAUAAACAUACAUACAGGUUCCGGCAAAAUGACCUGACACAUUCGCAGGUUUAAUAAAAUGCAAAUAAAUUAAAGAAA